rnacentral:rRNA from 1 species
CAAUAGCGUAUACUAAUGUUGUUGCAGUUAAAAGGCUCGUAGUCGAACCUAUGAUCUUGUGUGCUUGACCCGCUGCCAAGCGCAGCGCGUGUUUUUGUACACUGGUCAUCCUUCUGGACUCUGCCCCUGUACUUCACUGUGUGGGACGUAUGAUCCAGAUCAUUUACUGUGAGUAAAUCAGAGUGUUUCAGACAGGCUUCACGCCUGAAUGUUCUAGCAUGGAAUAAUAAGAUAGGGCUUUGGUUCUAUUUUGUUGGCUUCUAGGACUAAAGUAAUGAUUGAUAGGGAUAGUUGGGGGUGCUAGUAUUUAACGGUCAGCGGUGAAAUGCGUGGACCCGUUAAAGACUAACUUACGCGAAAGCAUUCACCAAGGAUAUUUUCUUUGA